rnacentral:pre_miRNA from 1 species
CUUGCUGGAGAAGCAGGGCACGUGCAAUUCCUUUCUUUCCCUCUCCGAAUUGCACGUGCUCCACUUCUCCAACAUGGG